UACGCAGGGAGCUAGCGUUGUUCGGAAUCACUGGGCGUAAAGCGCACGUAGGCGGAUUGCUAAGUCAGGGGUGAAAUCCUGGAGCUCAACUCCAGAACUGCCUUUGAUACUGGCGAUCUCGAGUCCGGGAGAGGUGAGUGGAACUGCGAGUGUAGAGGUGAAAUUCGUAGAUAUUCGCAAGAACACCAGUGGCGAAGGCGGCUCACUGGCCCGGUACUGACGCUGAGGUGCGAAAGCGUGGGGAGCAAACAGG
rnacentral:rRNA from 1 species